rnacentral:lncRNA from 1 species
UCGCUUCUCGCAUCUUCUCAUCCACCGGGGCCAACCCCACCUUCUUUCGAAUAACUUCAUUCUUAAUCUUAUCUAACCUGGUGAGCCCGCACAUCCACCUGAGCAUCCUCAUCUCCGCAACCUUCAUUCUCUGAACAUGAGAGCUCUUCACUGGUCAUCACUCCGCCUCAUACAACAUUGCAGGUCUAACCACAGUUCUAUAAAAUUUCCCCUUGAGUGUAUGUGGAACUUUCUUGUCACACAGGACUCCUGAUGCAAGCCUCCACUUUGACCACCCCGCUCA